CUCGUAGGUGGUUCGUCACGCGGAUGUGAAACUCUGGGGCUUAACCCCAGACCUGCAUUCGAUACGGGCGAGCUUGAGUAUGGUAGGGGAGUCUGGAAUUCCUGGUGUAGCGGUGGAAUGCGCAGAUAUCAGGAGGAACACCAAUGGCGAAGGCAGGACUCUGGGCCAUUACUGACACUGAGGAGCGAAAGCGUGGGGAGCGAACA
rnacentral:rRNA from 1 species